ensembl:misc_RNA Metazoa_SRP Metazoan signal recognition particle RNA
GCUGGGCACAGCAGCGCGUGCCUGUAGUCCCAGCUACUUGGAAGGCUGAGGCUAGAGGAUCACUUGAGUCCAGGAGUUCUGGGCUGUAGUGCACUAUGCCGAUCAGGCAUCCGCACUAAGUCCGGCAUCAAUAUGGUGACCUCCUGGGAGCAGGAGACCAUCAGGUUGCCUAAGCAGGGGUGAACCAGCCCAGGUUGGAAACGGAGCAGGUCAAAACUCCCAUGCUGAUCAGUAGCGGGACUGCACCUGUGAAUAGCCACUGCACUCCCGCCUGGGCAACAUAGGGAGACCCCAUCUCUU